CUUGUAAAUUUAACCACAAUGAUAUGCGUGCACUUAUAUAUAUAAAACAUAGAAUCCUAGAUAAUUUAAUAUCAGAAAUAUGUUUUAAAAAGAUUAAAUUCUGUAGGAAGAUAGCUAUUAAUAGUUAAUGGUAGUUCAUAUUGGCAUGUUUAUUAAAAGUAUUAUGCAUUACACUAUUACGUAAAUCUAAUUUAAGACGGCAAAGAAUUGUGGUUAAACGCACCGCUGCCAUCAUUUUAAUUAUGGAGUAAAUUGGAUAGUAAAUAUUGGUCAUUAAUAUAAUGUUGAUUUAAGUGUUUUGUGUAUAAAUCAAGUUUUAUAUAGUCCUGGCCAAUAUUUACUUGUGAGUUUUUAUUUCCAGUAUAAACUUGUGCUAUUCACUUCACAGUUGGUCUGUAUUUACAUUUCUACCUGCAUGUACUGUACCCAUCUUCCAAGCUAGGGAAUUUUUUUUUUUGCACUAUGCCUGGGAAGAUUUUUU